rnacentral:lncRNA from 1 species
UGAGAGUGGGGCAGGGAAGCCUGAGGCCCAGCCUCUGCCAUGACCCUGAGCAGGGCCUACCCCCAGGCGAUUCAUCUCCCCAUCUCUGAGCUGCCAGAUGGAACCCACGUGCAGAGUGGCUGCAACAUGGAGAAUGGGUUGGAGGGACACAAGAGGGGCAGUGGAGAGACCACUUCAGAGGUUGUCUGCAGAGUGAGAUUAUGGCGAAGCAUUUUAUUCUUUUUACAAACCUGCUUUUUCUCAGUUUUCCACAUUGGAUUUGCCAGCUACCUGCCUUUGCAGGACACCUCAGAAGUUACAGACUUGCCUGUGGAAAUGCAGAGAGCACCUGAGGUAUUUCCCGGACUCUCCAGUAGUAGCCUUGAAUGGCUGACCAACCGCAGUCACCUGCCAGAUCUUCUCAGAACCGGCCAGCCCACCAGCGACAGGCCCAUUAAGUGGCCUGGCCCAGCCCAGAUGGAAAACCCCCUCCACGUGACUUUCUAAAGAACAUGCAUGAAGACAAAACACCAGGUGCCUCAGGUGUGACACCCUGAGGACACAUCACCUGUACAGUAUCCUAACCCACCCAAGAUGACACAGUAAGCUAACUGCAGUGAGGUGUACAGGGCCAUGGGGCUCUGGGAUGAACUCUUCCACCUCUACACCUUGUAAACAAGGAUUCCAGACACACCCUCCAAAUGGGAAUGGAGACACACGUUUGGCAGAGUUGGACAGUAACGCUGCUCUCCUAUCAGCCUGGACUUUGAGGGGAGUGGAAAACAUGAGUGUGGAGGUGCAGCAGUCCUGGUAUCCCCUGAAACCAGCCUGUGGGGGGAACAGUCUUCCCAGGGGAGCUGCUCAGGAUCGUCCUGGUCCCAUGCAUCAGGAAGAAAAGGGAACCUGAGAGCAGAGGGAAAAUGCAGAAAGUGGGGCAGGGAGACUGCUCCCUGAAACCCCCAUGGGCUGCUGGUCCAAGCAGAAAGUGUUGUCGGAGGGGGGAGAGGCAGGGUGAAAUGGGACAGGAAACGAGGACUUCCGAUGAGGAGGAGGAGGGGGCAGUGGGCUGCGGGUCUUGGGGACUGAACAGAAUGGGGUUUGCUAGACAGAGCUUUCGUCUACCCACUCCUGAAGUCCUGCUGGACCUCAGCUGGCCCUUGUGAACUGUUGAGGGGGAUAUAAACACAAAGGCCUGCAUUCCUGUGGGUGCACAAUCCUAAGAGACCAUGGACUGCCUGUGUGUGGUGGGAACAGGAAAAGGAGGCUGAGUGUAGCCCUGCUUGGAAUUUAGUGUCCACCACAGAUGUAUCCACUACCCAGGGCCAAAGACUCGGCAGCCUCAGAAGACUCAAUGGAAGCUGAGCACAGGACUAGAAAGGGUCAGGGCCCUCCUCUGUAUGUAGGGGUGGCACAUGGCCACUAGCUGGGUGAUGGGGCACUGAGAAAUUAAAUGUUUGACAUAAAAAUGUAAUCAGGACCCGAGAGGAGGUGGGUGGUGUAAUGAACAGCAUCCUAGAAGUCCGGUACAGAUUUCACGUGUCACCUUCUAGUUCCUUAUCUGAAAUUGAAAGGUGAGGUCAGGUGCAGUGGCUCAGGCCUGUAAUCCCAGCACUUAGGGAGGCUGAGGAGGGCAUAUCAUUGAGGUCAGGUGUUUGAGACCAGCCUGGCCAACAUGGUGAAACCUCUACUAAAAAUACGAAAAUUAGCCGGCUGUGCUGCACACGCCUGUCGUCCCAGCUACUUGGGAGGCUGAGGCAGGAGAAUCCCUUGAACCUGGGAGGCAGAGGCUGCAGUGAGCUGAGAUCACACCACUGCACUCAAGCCUGGGCAUCACAGCGAGACUUCUUAAAAAAAAAAAAAAAAUUUAAAGGUGAGCCAGUUCAGGCUUCUAGAGGCACUGCAGUUACAGACGGUAAACUGCACAAAUCCUGGGUGUGAAGCUGUUUUUUCCUGUGUAACCACCACCCAUUGACAGCAUCCCAGAAAGUUCAAGUGUGUCCCUUCCCAGUUUACAGCCACCCGCCUCCCACCCUCACUUCUAAAUCCACCGAUUAGCAGUGUGUCUUGGAAAUUAAUAUACAAGGAAUCAUAUAGUAUGUGCUCUUUUGUGUUUGGCUUCUUUGCUCAAGAUGUCCGUGAGAUUCAGCCGGGUUGCCUCUCUCUGUAAUAUGUUAAUUUAGGUGUAGUAUCCAUUGUCUGGAAAUACAAUUGUCUAUUCUCUACUGGUGGAUAUUUGAGUGUCUCUGGUUUGGGGCCAUUAUAAUAAAACUGUUGUGAAUCUUCUUAUACAAGUUUUUUGGUGGACAUCAGCCUCAUUUCUCUGAAAUGAGUGGAAACUGCUGGGCCGGAGGGUAGCUGUUGUUUUUAGCUUUAGUGGAUAUUGCCAAGUAGGAAGUAGGGAGGUGAUUAUUACAGUCUCUAAUAUAUAAAAAAG